rnacentral:rRNA from 1 species
UACGAAGGGGGCUAGCGUUGCUCGGAAUCACUGGGCGUAAAGCGCACGUAGGCGGAUUGCUAAGUCAGGGGUGAAAUCCUGGAGCUCAACUCCAGAACUGCCCUUGAUACUGGCGGUCUCGAGUCCGGGAGGGUGAGUGGAACUGCGAGUGUAGAGGUGAAAUUCGUAGAUAUUCGGAAGAACACCAGUGGCGAAGGCGGCUCACUGGUCCGGUACUGACGCUGAGGUGCGAAGCGUGGGAGCGAACAGG